GAUGAACGCUGGCGGCGUGCCUAAUACAUGCAAGUCGAGCGAACGGACGAGAAGCUUGCUUCUCUGAUGUUAGCGGCGGACGGGUGAGUAACACGUGGAUAACCUACCUAUAAGACUGGGAUAACUUCGGGAAACCGGAGCUAAUACAGGAUAAUAUUUUGAACCGCAUGGUUCAAAAGUGAAAGAAGGUCUUGCUGUCACUCAUAGAUGGAUCCGCGCUGCAUUAGCUAGUUGGUAAGGUAACGGCUUACCAAGGCAACGAUGCAUAGCCGACCUGAGAGGGUGAUCGGCCACACUGGAACUGAGACACGGUCCAGACUCCUACGGGAGGCAGCAGUAGGGAAUCUUCCGCAAUGGGCGAAAGCCUGACGGAGCAACGCCGCGUGAGUGAUGAAGGUCUUCGGAUCGUAAAACUCUGUUAUUAGGGAAGAACAUAUGUGUAAGUAACUGUGCACAUCUUGACGGUACCUAAUCAGAAAGCCACGGCUAACUACGUG
rnacentral:rRNA from 1 species